AGUCCAGUGGCGGAUGGUCCGCGUCUGCAGCUCCUAUUAAUAUUAUGUAGUAUGAUGUCCGCCUCGCAGAAGGUCGCCCGUUCGAGUCGGGCCUGGGUCC